AUUUUUCGUGAAUAUACAGGAGUUGGAAUUAGAAGGAUUUCUGAACUCUCUGUCUCCAUCAUUGGAUCAAUACCUUACACAGCUACUGGGUUUGAUCAUUUUGGAUCUGAUGUGCAUUCCGUAUGCUUGGUUUGACCUUAGUAGUUCUCCUGUCAUCUUAUUACCUGUUAUUUCCAUCGCAUUUGUUUGUCACUUGUGCUGUAUAGUAUAGAUAGUUCAUUGUUGAAUGGAAAAUUGCUUACUGCUUCGGAACCAACUAAACUUUCCAAUCAGAUAUUGUAGUUGACAUAAGCAGGGAGCUUUUAAGUUACACUUAAUGUUUUGUAUUGGGAGUUAGGUUUCCUUUACAGUUCAUUUUCCACUCUUCAUAUGUCUACUCUUAAAAUUUAUGUUUUUUAGCUCAUCCAAAUUGAUAAAUUCUUCUACAGAUUAUUAGAUUUUGUCCGAUGGAGGCAACGGGAGAGGGUUGAUAGAUGCAAAAGAUUUCUAUGCACGUGGCUGGUACAUUGUUGGUAUAUUGAAACAUUGAUUAUAGAAUAAAAACUAUUUGGUUGCAACUUAUCAUAGUCUCUCUCUUGUUUUUGCUUGCUGUUGCACAUUUUGAAAUAAGUGUAGCUGGCAUGCCGAUGUUGAAUUCAGAGGUUGGUUUCAACUAUGUGGUGUAUCGGCUUUAUGUGGAUGAUUGUCUUAUGCAGCUUUGUCUUUGUCUAUAUCUCUCUCUCUCUCUCUCUAUUUAUACAAAAGUACUUUUAUCAUUUUGAGUAACGAUUCCUUAGGAAUCCUGAAUAAUAUAUUUUUCUGUCAAUCUUUUUUUUUGGUAUACAGGUUAUUGUUUAUAUUCCGCCUUGUAUAAACUGGAUGUUUAAGGCAUAUCUUAACUGGUGGUUCUGCUCUUUGCUCUUCUUGAUUUUGUUGGAAGGAUCGAAUUGGAUCACCGGGAAUGAAAAAUGAGAGACUUUUGAAAGGUUGAACUUUGUUUGCCGGCUAGCUGAAUUAUCAUUGACAUUACAAGAAGUUUACACUUCUAGUUGGAGUAGAUUGAUCUGAAUAAGGCAUGCCUUUCCCUCACUGGAGUUGAGUUGGGUGAUUUUUCUGUUAUUUUGUCACCCUUCAUUUUCCUUGCAAGUUCUUUGUGACUUGUAUGCAGCCUAAGCUUUGGGGAAAAAGAUGUUUAUGUUGGAGCGAAACAAACUUCUUCUAGAAAAGCAGAAGUCAAGAUAAGAAGGAAGCCUUCUUUGGUAGGACUAUCUUCCCUUGCUUGAAUCGACCUUAGUAGUUUUUCUAUUAUCAAUUAAUGCGAUUUUCUCUUCCAAUAUUUCUGCCACUCUGCUCCAGUGAGAUCAAAUUGGUAUAAAUGGUGCUUAUGUUGGGGCGAACAGAAUCUAUUAAAUACUUGCAUUAUGACACCACCAACCAGUUGGAUACUUGCAGGUCCAAGGAUGAAUGACUUGUCACUUUUAGCAUGACGGGAAAUUUACUUGCCUUAGUGGAUUAGCUUAGCCAUUUCUCUGCUUGAAUGGACUCUGGUAGUUGUCAUAUUAUCAUUUGAUCUUUGUUUCCUUUGCAUUUUGUUUGUGAUUCGUUUGUGCAGCCAGAUCAUGAGGGAAGAAUAAUUAGAUGCUUAUAUUGCUGCAAACUGAUUUUUCAUUGAAUGAUUGGAGUUCAAAUAAGGAAGACUUUCAAAAUUGUACUCAAAUCUCUCGGUGCUGGGAGUUUUCUUAUUGGUCUCAAAUUCAUUGACAUUUUCAUAGAUAUACAGGAGGCAGAAUUAGAUGACUUUCUAAACUCUCUCUCAUUUGAUUAGAAACUUAUACAGCUUCUGGUUUUGAUCAUUUUGGAUCUGAUGUGCAGUCCUUAUGCUUGGUUUGACACUGGUGCUUCUCCUAUAAUCUUAUGUUAGCCAUUACUUUCUGUUUGAUUUGUUUGGGAUUUGUACUUCACAAAACAGACAUAUCAUUGAGAAAAAAGGGGAUGCUUACUGCAUUGGACAAACUAAACUUUUCUAUCAGAUACUAUAGUUGAUAUAAGCAGGGAGUUUCUGAGCUACUGUCAAUGUCUCAUAUCUUCCACUAGUUAUUACAUUUUCUCAGGUGGUGGCAGCGGGGAAGGGUUAAUAUAUGGAAAAGAUUCCUAGGCAUGUGGCUGGUGUGUUGUUCGUAUAUUCAAACAUUGAUAAGAUAAUAACAACUAUUUGGUUGCAAUUUAUAGUCAUCUAUCUCUUGUUUUUGCUUUCUGUUGCCUAUUUUGUAAUAAGUGUUGCUGGUGUGCAGAUGUUGAAUUCAGAGGCUGGUUUCAACUGUGUGGUGUAUCGGAUUUACGUGGACAAUGGUUUUCUUAGCUUUUUGUUAUUGUUUACGUACUACCAUGCACAAUAUGGAGAUUUAAGACACAUCUUACGUGGUGGUUCUACUCGUUGCCGCCUUGAUUUUGUGGAAGGGGUCAAAUGUAAGUCGGGAAGGAAAACGACAGACUUUACAGUUAACAAUUUGGUUUAAGAUAACACAUGAAUGAUGCAAUACUAUUAAAGUUCUAGAGGUUGUUCAGGAUAGUGUAGUUUGGCAAGGAAGGCUGGUUGAGAACUUCUGGGUGCAGGACUAUAACAGGUUGCUGAAAUAUUAUUGACAUUUCGAGAAGUCUACACUGCUAGCUGGAGUAGGUCAAUUUGGAUACAACAUGGUUGAUGGUGACUUUUCUGCGAUCUUGUCACCCUUUAUUUUCCUUGCUGGUUCUUUUGUGGCUUGUAUGACAGACUAAACUUUGGGGUAAAACAUGCUUGUACUAAAGGGAAUUGCACUUCUAAAGAGGCAGAAGUCUAAGUAAGAAGGAAGUGUCUUAGGUAGAAUUAUCUCCCCUUUGAUUGAAUCAACCUUGAUAGCUUUUCUAUCUUCAGUUAAACGCUUUACUUCUCUUGCAUUUCUUUACCACUCUGGCUGCAGCGAGAUGAAAUAGGGAUAAAUGGUGCUUAUGUUGGAGCAAAUAGAACCAAUUGAAGUACAGGAGUUGAAAUUAGAAGGAAGGUUUUCUAAGUUUUAAUUAAUAGCUCAUAUUGGGUCCUUUUUCUUUUCCAGUAUGCUUCCUCUUUGAAUUCAUAAGUUCUUUUAGGUCUAAAAUUUACAUUGCGGUAUUAGCCCAUAAUGUGUUCUUCCUUGAAUAAUUAGAUGGUGCCAAAUGAUUGAGGGCAGUGGAAGGAUGGUAGAAAUUGAAGAUUUCUUGUGCUCACAAUGACUGGUACGUUAUUAAUGGUUGAUAAAAUUUUGAAAAUCAAUUAAUUUGAAUUUUUAAUUGUCUACCUUUUGAUAAGUUUGUAGCUGAUGGGUUGAUUUGGAGUUUAGGAGAUUGGUUUUAAGUGCACAACGUCUAGGCUCAAUGUGCAUGGUGGUCUUUAAUAUCUUCCGAUUUUUGACGGUCCAUGUUAAUCAUCUCUCUUUCUCACUUUGAGAAAAUGUUCUGUAACUAUUCUUAAUAAAAUCUCUGUCUUAAAUUUUUUUAAAAUGUUGAUUAUAUUUUAUGUAGGUGAGGUUUAAGGUAUAUUGAUUGGCAUGUCUUAUGCCAUUGGUGCUCUUCGCUUCAUGUGUUUGCUUGAGGGUAUCUGAUUAGACGUGGGAAAGAUAAAGAUAAAGUACAAGUAAAGUGCGUUAUGACACGGCAAAAUUUGGAUUCUUGCAGGCCUAGGAAUGAAUGAUUGUUCAUUUUUUGCAUGAUGAGAAAUUUAUCUGUCUUCCUGAAUUUGCUCAUUCCUUUCUUUUGCCUUUGAAUGGACUUUGGUCGUUGUCAUAGCAUCAUUUGAUGGUUGUUCGUUUUGCAUUUUGUUUGUGAUUCUUGCUGCAGCUAGAUUAUGAGGGUAGAAUAAUAAGAUGCUUAUAUUGCUGCAAACUAAGCUUCUCAUUGAAUUGCUGAAGUUCAAAUAAGACUUGCAAAAUUUUACUCUCGUGUCUGGAGCUUUUUGUAAUUCAUAAAUUUAUUGAAUUUUCAUGGAUAUACAGGAAUCGAAAUUAAAAGGAUUUUUAAACUCUGUCUCUCCCUCAUUGGAUUAGUAACUUACACAACUUCUGGAUUUGAUCAUUUUGGAUCUGAUGUGCAUUCUGUAUGCUUGGUUUGACUCUGGUUGUUCUCCUAUCAUCUUAUCACCCAUUACUUUUGUCCGAUUUGUUUGUGACUCAUGUUUUAUAGUACAGAUAGGUCGUGGUUGAAUGAAAGGAUGCUUGGUUUGACUCUGGUAGUUCUAUCAUCUUAUCACACAUUACUUUUUUCCGAUUUGUUUGUAACUUGUGCUUUGUAGUACAGAUAGGUCAUGGUUGAAUGAAAGGAUGCUUACUGCAUUGGAACAAACUAAACAUUUCAAUCAGAUACCAUAGUUGACAUAAGUAGGGAGUUCUUAAAUUACAAUCAAUCUCGUAUUGGGAGUUAGUUUUCCUUUCCGAUUCAUCUUUCCACUCUUUACUCAUCCAAAUUCGUAAUUCUUCCAAAAAUUAUUUACAUUUUAUCAAAUGGUUGCAGUGGGGGAGGGUUGAUGGAUGCAAAAGAUUCCUAUGCACGUGGCUUGUGUGCUGUUAGUAAGUAUAUCGAAACAUUGAUAGGAUGAUAAAAACUAUUUGAUUGCAUCGUCAGUCUCUUGUUGUUGCUUGCUGUUGCCCAUUUCAUAAUAAUUGUAGUUGGCAUGCAGAUGUCAAAUUCAGAGGUUGGUUUCAACUGUAUGGUGCAUUGGCUUUAUGUGGAAGAUGGUCUCAUGUAGUUUUCUCUCUGUUGAUCUCUCUCUCUCUACAUAUAUAUAUACCUGUAUAUUUAUCAUUUUGAAUAAUGGUUCCUCGUAAAUCCUUUAUUAUUAUUCUGUGAUUUUUUGGUGUAUAAAGGUUAUUUUUUAUAGUUACCGCCAUUCAUAAACUGGAUGUUUAGGGCACAUCUUAGCUGGUGGUUCUUCUCUUUGCUCUUGAUUUUGUUAGAAGAAUCAAACUAAGACCACUGGGAAAGAAAACUUUUGAAAGGUUCAUUGAACUUUGUAUGUCUGGUUUCUUUGAAUCAUAAGCAGUUAAAAUUUGGUUUAAGAUAACACGUGAAUGAUGCGGUACUGUUAAGGGUUUAGAGUUGUUAAAGAUCGUGUAGUUUGGUAUGGCAGGUUAGUUGAGAACUUCAGGUGCAGGACUAUAAUAUGUUGCUGAAAUAUUGUUGACAUUACAAGAAGUUUGCACUACUAGCUGGAGUAGAUUGAUCUGGAUAAGAACAUGCCUUCCCUUCGGUUGAGCUGACUUCGGUGAUUUUUCUGUGAUCUUGUCAUCCUUUAUUUUCCUUGCAACUUUUUUUGUGACUCGUGCUGCAGCAUAAGCUUUGGCAGAAAAGAUGUUUAUAUUGGAGCGAAUCUAGAGAGGUAUAAGUCAAGAUAAGAAGGAAACUCUUAGGUUGGAUUAUCUCCCCUUGCUUGAAUCGACCUUGCUUGUUUUUCUAUUAUCAGUUAACAUGAUAUUUCUCUUGCAAUUUUCCUGCCAUUCUGCUGCAGUGAAUUCAAAUAGGUAUAAAUGGUGCUAAUAUUGGAGCGAGUGGAACCUAUUGAAAAAAGGAGUUGAAAUUAUAAGGAAGACAUUCCAAGUUUUAGUGAAUAGCUCAUAUUGGGUCCUUUUUUCCCUCUUAUAUGUUUCCUUUUUGAAUUUUUCAUUUCUUUUAGGUCUAAAAUUUACAUUGUUGGUAUGCUAUUAACUCGAAAGAUGUAUUCUUUCGUGAAUAAUUAGAUAGUGCUAAAUAAUUGAGGGCGGUGGAAGGUUGAUAGAAAUUAAAGAUUCUCUGUGCACGCCUUGACUGGUAUGCUAUUAAUGGUUGAUUAAAUUAUGAAAAUCAAUUAAUUUCAACUUUUAAUUGUCUACCUCCUGAUAAGUUGGUGGCUGGUGAGUGGAUUUUGGAGUUACAGGAGAUUGAUUUCAAGCGUAUAGUGUCUAUACUUAGCAGGGAUGGCGGUCUCUAAUAUCGUUUCAUUUUUUAUGUCAAUGUUAAUCAAUUCUCUCUCUCUCGCACACAGUCUUUUAGAAAUUGUUCCAUUGGUAUCCUUAAUCAGAUCUUAUUGUUGUUGUUUUUUUUCAAAAAAACAUUAAUUUUAUUCCAUUUAGGUGAAGUUUAAGGCAUAUUCAUUGGCAAGUUCUAUGCCAUUGGUGGUCUUCCUUCAUGUGUCUGCUUGAGAAAUGUGCAUUAUGACACUGCUAACCCGUUUGAUACUUGCAGGCCCAUGAAUGAAUGAUUGGUCAUUUUCGCAUGACGGAAAAUUUACUCGUCUUCCUGGAUUUGCUUAGCCAUUUCUCUGCUUGAACGGAUUCUGGUAAUUCUCAUAUUAUUUGAUCUUUGUUCCCUUUGCAUUUUGUUUAUGAUUUGUGGUGUAGCCAGAUCAUGGGGGAAGAAUAAUAAGAUACUUACAUUGCUGCAAACUGAACUUUUCAUUGUAUCGCUGGAGUUCAAAUAAGAAAGACUUUCAAAAUUGAACUCAAAUCGGUUGUGUUGGGAGUUCUCUUCUAGGUCACAAAUUUAUUGAAUUUUUCAUGGAUAUAUAGGUGGUGUAAUUAGAAGGCUUUCUAAACUCUCUCAUUUGAUCAUAAACUUAUGCAGCUUCUGGUUUUGAUAAUUUUGAAUCUGAUGUGCGGCCCAUAUGCUUGGUUUGACAUUGGUGGUUCUCCUAUAAUCUUACCUUACCCAUUACUUUCCAUUUGAUUUGUUUGGGAAUCAUGCUUCAUAGAACAGAUAUAUCAUUGAUUAAGGGGAUGCUUAUUGCAUUGGGCAAACUAAACUUUUCACUCAUAUACUAUACUAUAUAUAAGUAGGGAGUUUGAGUUACUGUCAAUGUCUCAUAUUGGGGGUUAAUUUUUCUUUCCUAUUCAUUCAAUCUGAUACUCUUUAUAUGUUUUGCAUUUACUCAUCCAUAAUGAUAAUUCUUCCGCUAAUUAUUACUUUCAAUCAGAGGCUGGUUUCAACUGAGUGGUAUAUCGGCUUUUUGUUUCUCAACUUUUCCUUUCUCUUUUUAUAUACCUGUAGAUUUAUCAUUUUUUCUAAUAAUUUUUCGAAAAUCCUUAAAUAAUUUUGUUCUGUCAUUUUUUUUUUCCAUUUUAUAUAGGUUAUUGUUUACAUACCUUUCUUGUAAAAUGAUUCCUUGGAAAUUCUUAAAUAAUUUUGUUUUGUAAAUUUUUUUUAAUUGUAUAUAGGUUAUUGUUUACGCACCACCAUGCAUAAAUUGGAGGUUUAAGACACAUCUUACUUGGUGGUUCUGCUUUUUGGUCUUCUUGAUUUUGUUGGACAUGUUCAAAUGUCUAAUUCGGGAAGGAAAAGGGAGGGAACUUUGGAAGGUUCACUGGACUUGUAUGUCAGGUUGUUCUUAAUCAUAUACGGUUAACAAUUUAUUUUAAGAUAACACGUGAAUGAUGCAAUAUUAUUAAAGCUCUAGAGAUCGUUCAAGAUAGCCUAGUUUGGUAUGGGAGGCAAGUUGAGAACUUCUGGGCGCAUGGCUAUAAUAGGUUGCUGAAAUAUUCUUGAUAUCUCGAGAAGUUUACACUGCUAGCUGAUGUUGAUCAAUAUGGAUACAACAUGUCUUUCCCUUGGUUGACCUGAUUUGGAUGAUUUUUCUGUGAUCUUGUGACCCUUUGUUUUCCUUGCAAGUUCUUUUGUGACUCAUAUUGCAGCCAUAAGCUUUGUGGAAAAAAGAUGCUUAUAUUGGAGCAAAUUUAACUCCUAGAGAGGCAGAAAUCGAAGUAAGAAGGAAGCCUUUUUUGGUAGAUUUAUCUUCCCUUGAUUGCAUCAACCUUGGUAGUUUUCCUAUCUUCAGUUAGAAUUCUUCAUUUUUCUUGCAAUAUUUCUGCCACUCCUGCUGCAGCGAGAUAAAAUGGGAUAAACAGUGCUUAUGUUUGAGUAAACAGAACCUGUUGAAGUACAAGAGUUGAAAUUAGAAGGAAGGCAUUCUAAGUUUUAAGUGAAUAAGUCAUAUUGGGUCCUUUUCCUUUUCCUGUAUGCUUCUAUUUUGAAUUCAUGAAUUCUUUAGGUCUAAAAUUUACAUGGUGGGUUUAGCCCAAAUGAUGUGUUUUGUUCUUGAAUAGUUAGAUGGCGACAAGUGAUUGAGCGCGGUGGAAAGAUGAUAGAAAUUAAGGAUUCCCUGUACACUCGGUGACUGGUAUGUUACUAAUGGUUGAUAAAAUUAUGAAAAUCAAUUAAUUUAAAAUUUUAAUUGUCUGCCUCUGGAUAAUUUUGUAGCUAGUGGGUGGAUUUGGAGUUCAGGAGACUGGUUUCAGGUGUAGUGUCGAGGCUCAAUGUGGAUGGUGGUCUCUAUAAUCUUUCGAUUUUUGAUGGUCCAUGUUAAUCAGCUCUUGCACUCUCGUACUUUGAGAAAUUGUUCUGUACAUAUCCUUGAUUAGAUCUCUUUGCCUUAACUUUUUUAGGACGUUGAUUAUAUUAUAUGUAGGCAAAAUUUUUGGCAUAUUCAUUGCCAUAUCGUAUGCCAUGGUGCUGUUAACUUGUGUUUGUGUGAGGAUGUCUAAUUAGAUGCUGGAAAGAAAAAGAAAAAGUAUGAGAAAUGUGCACUGUGACACAACAAAUUUGUUGGAUGCUUGCACGCUCGGUAACCAAUGAUUGAUUACUUUUUGCAUAAUGGGAAAUUUACUCUUCUUCCCAGAUUUGCUCAGCUCUUUUCAGCGCUUGAAUGGACUUUGGUAGUUGUCAUAUUAUCAUUUCCUCUUUAUUCCCGUCGCAUUUCGUUUGUGUUUUGUGCUGCAGCGAGAUCGUUGGGAAGAAUAAUAAGAUGCUUAUAUUGCUGCAGAUUCAACUUUUCACUAAAUUGCUAGAGUUCAAAUGAGGAAGGCUUUCAAUGUUUCAUUCAAAUCUCUUGUGUCUGGGGCUUUUUUGUAGGUCACAAAUUUAUUGAAUUUUUCAUGGAUCUACGUGGGACAGAAUCAGAAGGCUUUCUAAACUCUCUCUUUCUCAUCUGAUCAGAAACUUCCGGGUUUGAUCAUUUUGGAUCCGACAUGUGGUCUGUUUGCUUGGUUUGACUCUAGUGGUUCUCCUUCAAUCUUAUUCCCCAUUUUUUUACGUUCGGUUUGUUUGGGAAUUCGUCUUCAUUGAACAGACAUAUCAUAAAGGAAGAAGGGGAUACUUACUUCACGAGGACAAACCAAUUUUUCAACCGGAUACUGUAGUUGAUAUAAGCACAGAGUUUCUAAAUUACAGUCACUGUACUGUCUCAUAUUGGGAGUUAGUUUUCAUAUCCAGUCAUUUUUCCACUCUUUAUAUGUUUAUAUUAUGAGAAAUUUACACUGCUAGCUGGAGUUGAUUGAUCUGGGUACAACAUGCCUUUCCUUCAACCAAGCUGACUCGGGUGAUUUUGCUCUGAUCUUAUCAACCUUUAUUUUAAUUGCAGCAUCUUUUAUGACACGGAGAGGCACAAGCGGAAAUAAGAUGCACGCUUCUUAAAUUUUACUAAAUAUCUCCCCUUGAAUUAGCCUGGUAGUUUUUCUAUCACCCUUUAUUUUUGUUGCAAUUUGUCUGGAAUCAGAUAGAGGAUAGCUGGUGCUUAUAUUGGAGAGGACAGAUCCUACCGAGGUGUAGGAGUUCAAAUUACAAAGAAGGCUUUCUAAGUUUUACUAAAUAUAACAUAAUUGGAACUUUUGCCUUAUGAUUCAUUUUCAAAUUCUUCAUUUCGUUUAGGUCCAAAUUUAUUCUUUUAUUCAAACCAACGAAAUAUUCCUCGUUCCAUAAUUAUAUUGUGCCAAAUGAUCGAGGGUGGUGGAUGGAUGAUUGAAAUAAAAGAUUUCUGCGCAUGUGGUGACUGAUAUAUUGCUAAUAGUUGAUAUUAUAAUUGUCUAUCUCUUGAUAAGUUAGUAGCUAGUUGGUGGAUUUGGCGAUCAGCAGAUUAGUUUCGAGUGUAUUAUGUUUGGGUUCAAUGUGGAUGGUGGUCUCUAGUGUCUUCCUAUCUUUUGUGGUUCACGGUAAUUAUCUUUCUCUCUUACUUUGAGAACUUUUUCAUUGAUAUUCUUAAUGAUCUCAUUGCUUCGAUUUUCUUUUAUGCAUUGGUUAGGUAAGAGGUUGAGGUUUAAGUGAUUAUCAUUGGCGCGUCUCUUAUGUCAGUGGUGCUCUUUGCUUCAUUUGUUUGCUGGGGAAUCUAAUUAGACGCUGAAAAGUAAAAGAUAAAGCCUAAGAAGUGAGCUUUUAACUGGAUAUAUGUUUUAGUUACUUGGUCUCCAGAUGACAGUGCUCAAAAUUGGUUCCACCUAUAACGCACUAAUGUUGUACUGUAAAAGUACCUCGUGGUUUAAGAUGCAUAACACGGGAAACUAGUUGGAUACCUCUAGGUGCGGGAAUUUUUAUGAUUGAAGUUUAUUUUUCUUCCAGAAUUUGCUCAGGCCAUCCGUCUGCUUGAAUCGAUUCUAGUAAUUUUUCAAUGAUCAUUUAACCCUUGUUCUCUCUGCAUUUUGUUUUAAUUCAUGGUGCUGCCAGACCAUCGGGGAAGAAUAAGAUGCUUGUAUUGCAGCUAAUUGAACUUUUCAUUGACAUGCUGGAGUUCAAAUAGAGAAGGCACACAUGUUGGGAGCUUGUUUCCUUUAUGAUUCGAGUUAGACUCCUGGUUUCUUUUAGGUUUGAGUUUUCCACGGAUGCUUACAAGUUAUUGAAACACAUUCUGAACUCUCUCUCUCUCAAUUGGAUUGGAAAUUUAAGCAGCAUGUGGAUUUGAUCAUUUCGGGUUUGACGUGCAUUCAAUUGUCUUGGUUUGACUCUGGUAGUUCUCUUAUAAUCUUAUCACCCAUUAUCUUCCAUGCAAUUUAUUUGUUGCUCGUGCUGCAGAGAGCAGAUGGAUAAUUGAGGGAGAAAAAGAUGCUUAUGCUGGGACACACUGAACUUCUCAAUCAGAUACGGAACUUGAUAGAAGCAGGGAGUCAAUAGAAGCGGAGAGUUUCUAGAUUAUAGUCAAUUUCUUAUGCUGGAAAUGAGAAGAAUGCUUCUUAAAUUAUAUCAGUAUCUCCCCUUGCUUGAAUUGACUUUGAUGAUACCAACUGAUCAAGGGCGGUGGAGGGAUGGCAGAGAUAAGAAAUUCCUCUUCACUUGGUUGAUUGGUAUGUUUUUAAUUUUUGAUGAGAUUGGGAAAACUACGUUUAUAAAUCUAUUGAUAAGUUAGUAGCUGGUGGUAUUUGGAGUACGUUAGAUUGGUUUUAAAUGUAUAGUGAGCAGCUGGGCUCAAUGUGGACAGUUGUCUCUAAUAUCUUUUGGUUUCCUGAAUUGUCACUUUAAUCAUCUCUCCCUCUUUUUUAUUUGAAGACUUGUUCUAUGGAUACCCUUAAUUUGAUUUAGUUGCUUCAAAUUUUUUUCGAAAACAUUGAUUAUAUUUAAAUACUAUUGCAUAUAUUUAAAGUUUAAGCUAUUUUGAUUGGCAUGUCUAUUAUGCUGUUGGUGCCCUUUGCUUUGUGCAAUUGCUUGACGAAUCUAAUUAGAAGUUGGAUAGAAAAGAUAAAGCUUGAGAAAUUUUCGGUGUAUGUUUCAAUUAAUCGUAUCCAGAUGACAGUGUAGUUGAAAAUUGGUUCCAGCUAACACGGCAAACUGUGUGGACAGGAACAAAAUACUCAGCUGCAUCACUUUUAGCAUGAUGAGAAAUUAAUUGGUUUCCUGGAUUUGCUCAUGCGUUUCCUCUGGCUGAAUGGAUUCUGCUACUUGUUUUAUGAUCAUUUAACCCUUCUUCUCUUUGCAUGUUGUUUGUGAUUCAGAUUUUGUUUAUGAUUUGUGCUGCAGUCAGAUCAUUGCGGAAGAAUAAGAUGCUUACAUAUAUUGUUGCAAACUGAACCGUUUAUUGAAACGCUAGACCUCUAAGUAAGGAAGAUGUUCUAAAUUAUACUCGAAUAUCUCAUGUUAGGAGUUUGUUUUCCUUUAUGAUUUAAGUUAAAACUUAUGAUUUCAUCUAGAUCAACAAUUUAAUGAGUUUUUCAUAGGUAUACAUGAGUUUCUCAUCAAUGCCUUCCCCUUCGGUUGAGCUAACUCAGGCGUUUUUUCUGUGAUCUUAUCACCCUUAAUUCUGCUCGCAAUUUCUUUGUGACGCUUGCUGCAGCGAAAUCUUUAGGAAAAAUAUGCUUAUGGUGGAGAAAACUGAACCUCUUAUAGAGGCAUGAAUUCAAUGCUUAAAUUGUAAUCAAUUUCUUCCCUUGCUUAAAAUAUUGUGCUAGUUAUUUUAUCAUCGACUAAACCCUUUAUUUUUCUUUCAUUUUGUUUGUUGCUCUAGUACAGUGAACCAAACUUAUUGAAGAGCAGAGGUUGAAAUUAGAAGGAAGUCUUUCUAAGUUUUAUUGAAUAUCUCAUAUCUGAAUUUUUUCCACUUUACAAUUCAUUUUCAAAUUCUUCGUUUAUUUCAGUUCUAAAAUCUACUUUGUCCAACUUUUACACUUUUUAUUUUCGCAAAUAAAAAAAAAUAAAAAAUCGGUUUUGUCCAAUUCGACCCAAAUGAUAUUUUCUUUGGCGAAUGAUUUGAUGGUGCCCAAAUGAUUUGAGUGCGAUGGAGAGGGGGUGAUACAAAUAAAAGAUUCCUGUACUGGUGGUGACUGGUUAUGUUGUUACUGUUGGUAUGAUUAUAACAACCAAUUACUGUCAAUUUUAUAAUUGUCUCUCGUGAUAAGUUAAUAGCUGGUAGGUGGAUUUGGAAUUCAGAGGACUGGUUUUAAGUAUAUUGUAUUUUGGCUCAAUCCGGACAGUUGUCUCUUUUGAUUUCCUGAAGGUUCACUUUUAUAAUAUCUCUCUCUUUCGCACUUUUGAAGGGUGUUCCACUGAUAUCUUUAGUUUGAUCUUGUUUGCCUUGAUUUUUUUUUUUUUUUUUUUUAAUAUUGGUUAGGUUUAGAUAUUAUUACAUACAUUCGAGGAUGAAGCCAUUUUGAUUGGCAUGCCUAUUAUGCCAUUGGUGCUCUUUACUUCAUGUGUUUGCUCGAGGAGAUCUAGUUAAAUGGUGGAUUAGAAAAGAUGAAAUUCCUUUAGUCCAAAAUUGGUUCCAGCUAAGACAUGAAUGAUGUAGUGUAGAAUUACCUUGCCGUUGAAGAUGCUUUAUGAGAUAGCAAACGAGUUAGAUACUUGAAGGUGGUGGAAUCACUUCAUGACGAGAAGUUUUUCUGUUACCAAUUAAACGCUGAUUCCCUUUCAUUUUGCUUGUGAUUCAUGUGGCAGCCGGAUCAACUGGGGAAGAAUUAGAUGCUUAGAAUGCAGCGAAAAGUUCCGUUUGCUCCAAGGAAUAUGUUCUUCUCCCUAUAGUAGGUGUUGAUGGAGCCCGAUAAAAGUAAAAGAUCCUUUUAUUCUUUGCUGGUGUGCUGUUGAUAUAUUAAGAUGUGGGAUAUGGUUCAAGCCGCAAUGCAUAUAUUGGAUGUUUAAGCCAUUUGACCGGCAUUCUCUUAUGCCCCUUUGUUCGAACCUGGUCAGUAAAUAAAAGAGCCUGCAAAAGGAACAAAUGGUUAGCUAAUUACUGUUCACGUUACGAGAAAUUUUAUACAGCUCUGAAAGGAAUCAUGUAAGACCAGCCAGAAGGAAAAA